UGCGUAGGCGGUUAUCUAAGUCAGGUGUGAAAUCUCUCGGCUCAACCGAGAAACUGCGCUUGAAACUGGGUGACUGGAGGAAUGCAGGGGUGUGUGGAACUUCCGGUGGAGCGGUGAAAUGUGUAGAUAUCGGAAGGAACGCCAGCAGCGAAAGCGGCACACUGGGCAUUUACUGACGCUGAGGCACGAAAGCUAGGGGAGUGAACG
rnacentral:rRNA from 1 species